rnacentral:rRNA from 1 species
AUUGAACGCUGGCGGCAUGCCUUACACAUGCAAGUCGAACGGUAACAGGUCUCCGGAUACUGACGAGUGGCGAACGGGUGAGUAAUACAUCGGAACGUGCCUAGUAGUGGGGAUAACUACUCGAAAGAGUGGCUAAUACCGCAUGAGAUCUACGGAUGAAAGCAGGGGAUCGCAAGACCUUGUGCUACUAGAGCGGCCGAUGGCAGAUUAGGUAGUUGGUGGGAUAAAAGCUUACCAAGCCGACGAUCUGUAGCUGGUCUGAGAGGACGAUCAGCCACACUGGGACUGAGACACGGCCCAGACUCCUACGGGAGGCAGCAGUGGGGAAUUUUGGACAAUGGGCGCAAGCCUGAUCCAGCAAUGCCGCGUGCAGGAUGAAGGCCUUCGGGUUGUAAACUGCUUUUGUACGGAACGAAAAGCCCUGGGUUAAUACCCUGGGGUCAUGACGGUACCGUAAGAAUAAGCACCGGCUAACUACGUGCCAGCCGCCGCAGUAAAAC